UAGAAUUUAAAGACACGUAACAAGAAUACACGUUAUGAUGAAGGAUUUCUUUGUGAAGGGUAUUCGAUAAUUUGAGUCGCGAAAUGGUAAAUGGUGAAAACGGAAGAAUUAAAGGUGGAGGGCUAGGAGGUGGUAGACAAUUUGAAGGUGGCAGUGGUGGUGAAUCCUUAGUAGUGGAGGCAGUGUUAGAGGCGGUGGUGGAAGUCUCUGCAAAGGUGGUGGCUGCGGAGGCGAUCUUUUGCGCCAAGGAAACAAUGUGGACUCUUUGGGGGAAACGGACAAAUGAAAAAUGAUGUUCUUGAAGGAAAGGGCAAAAUAUGGUGAACGAUGUGAUAAAAGGCAUGGUAGAAAGUUCAGUGGAAGCGACGGUACGGACGUUGAAGUGGGACAUAACGUAAGAGUUUUGAAGAAGUAAAUUUCUGAAUGGGAAACGGGGGUCCCGGUGGCUGUGCAAACGGCCCAGGAGGACGCGGAGGCGGUGGUGGUGCGGGAGGUGGGUUACUUUUUGGCGGAAAUGGAGGUCAAGGAGGAAAUGGGCGAGAUGACGCUUUGAAAAAGGAUGGGAACAUCAACAUCAACAUUGUCAAUGGACAGGUGGAACCCGAAAGCGACAGCGAUGAGGUAGAACCUACUCCACGAUGUACUAGGUGUGGAAAUCGCCCUAUACAGGAAGUAGGCAACCGAUCUGCAAACGCCGGGCGUUAAGAAUAUUAGACCAACGAGAGUAUGCCAAUACUUCAAACAAACAAAAAACUUGAUUUUGAUUAUUUAUCUAUGGCAGUGUCAUUUAAUAUUAAUAUUUACUGUUAAGGGCUCAAACAUCUGGCAUACGAAACAUAUACAUUAAUUUUAAAUCGUCGCACAAUUUGUAUCAUUGUUUCUGAUACAUAUCAAGGAGUAAAUGUUAUUCUUUGUUCCAAUCGUUUGACCUGACUUGAUUGACGUAACUAUUGUACGAUGUCAUGUGGUAUUAUAUUUUACAGACACAUGGAGUAUGUGUUAUGAUUGUGUGACUUCCUUGACAAAAAAUGUCUUAAAAUAUUGUAAACUUCCAUGCCGUACUUUGCCAAUCAAUAUGUAUUAACCAUAAUAAUAUCAUAGUGUCUGAAUGUAUGUUCGGUUACAAAGUAUCUCUUUCAAUCAAUAUGUAACAUUGUCUUACAAGUAUAUGGGUAUCAAGUCUAUAUAACCGUCAUAGUUGUAUCUGUAUGUUAAUUUCCGAUGACACAUUUUUUCUCUAUAAUUUUGAUGGCCCUAUAUUCGUAUUCGUAAAUGUUUAUUUCAUCGCUUGCAAAUCACCUCUUUUAUAGACAAUUUAACAUUACAAAGAGUCUAAAGAUCUGUUUGCAGGUUUGUCUGUAUGAGCUGCUAUUUCUCAAAUCGUUUCAGUAUUAUAUUUCUUUAUUUAAUGCUUUCCGGUGGUUUAUAGAGAAUUAUCAGUGAAUUAAAACUGAUAAUUUCACUGUUUCAAACAGUGACAAUUAUCAGUGACAAUUAUCGAUAAUUUGCACUGCCUACUGUGAAAUGAUGUCAUUUUUUUGACGAAAUGACGUCAUUAUCCCACCGACAUUCUUUAGUUAAACUCUUUAACAAUGUAUAUAAACUGUGAAAAAAAGCACUCGUGAAAAUAUUAUUUUCUAUGAUCACUCGUGAAUUAAAAUCGAUAAUUCACCGAAUCCAACACAUAUCCUCUAUGUAUUUAAAAAAUGCUGAGACACUUAUUGCGGAAGGAUAAUAUUUUUAGUCAAUUUAAAAGAAAGACGUUCGCAAAACAAUGAAAUAUUGCGUAUUUCCUACUUUGUGCUGUUUCUCUAUUGUUUGUGUUUUAUGUCAAGCUUUUUGUAAUUAGUUACUUCAUAUAUACAGACAUAGAAUAUUUCCUGCUUGAAUUACUCUUUUACUUGUAAUGGAACCUUUUUCACGUUUUGAUAAAUUGACAAAGUUGAAAUCAAUUGUUUAAUAUUUGCAAACGUUAGUUGUUGCCAUGAUAUUUGCGAGCAAACAGUUAUACUGAAAACAUAUCCAUUAUACGCAUUGUUGAAGAUUUAAAACCCUGAAAAUUAUAUAGACCUACACACGCAAAACGAUUGAACAAUUUUGACAGUUCUGUUGGUAUCGUUUUAUUUUAUUAUAUUAUAUAUUGCUUAUAUUAUAUAUACAAUACACUACUCACGGAGCCCGGACGGCCGAGUGGUUUCAGUGCUAGACGUUUACUCCAAGUGUCAUUGGUUCGAGCCCUGUUUCGGAUUCCUUUUUUUUCUUCAAUUUUAUUAUUAUUUUUCACUGGUUAUAUUUAGUUCCAAUGUUUACAAUUAUUAAAAUUAAAGCAUUUAAUGACAAACUUCAAUAAAUGCCAAAAUCUGUGAAAACGUCCCUGUAAAAUAUUUUGGUAAAUAAUUCAAUAUUAAAUAACGUUUAUAGGAAAGGUGACAUUCGUACAAUCACGUAAAGCAACCAAGAGUAACAAAACAUAUUAAAAAUUUUGAAUUGUUUUAUAGCAAACUUGUUAAUCUUUUUGCAAUAAAAUGUGCAUUAAACAUCAAUGGCAAAGUUUUCAGAUAAUGGCCUUGAACUUAGAUUAUAAAUAAGAUGCUACAGCAGAGGCAACGCCGAGAACAGUACAAUUUUCUACAAUCUUCAGUCUUUUACAUUUCAUAAAUAUUAUCAUCAGGACUAGGUUUCAUUCACUCUGUUGUCGUUCCAUGCUCUCUGCCAGUUAUGUUAACGUCAUGCAACAUAUUGGUUUCGUUUUUUUUCGUAAGUGUCUUACUUCACAGGACUUAACGAAUGUCCAGACAUAUUGAGAUAAAAGUGAAAAUAAACGUUUAAAAUACCCCAUAUUGAAUCAAUCAAUUUUAACUGUCGAUGUUUUCUCUUCAGGACAAAUCUUCAGUCCAAAUCGAUUACAAAUAUUUAUCAUCACAUCUUACUCUAAACGAUGAUGUGUUUCUGUUUUUAUUGGUAAAGGGAAAAAGACAGAAUACUCGUUUAAACGAAAAAUGUCUUUACAAAUAUAAUCCACGUCUGUGUUUAAUAUGAAAAUAAAUAAUGUCAAAUGAACCUGUUGUUAUGAACAAAGUGCAUCUUCAGCUGGGUCAGAAGAAGAGAACCCUGAUUAAAGCAAAGGUUCUAAUAUUUAUUGCUGAAGAAUAAGACAAAGCACUGUUGCUGCACAUGAGCAAAAGACAUGACGCAAACACUCUAAACGAAUACAUAUAAUGCCUGAAACUAGACUAACCUUUUUAUAUCAAAACAUGGCAUGCGCAGUUUUAGUCAUUUCUUAUCAUACUCUCUUCUGUGAGACCAGUUAUGCCCACAGAAUACCUUCUAAUGGAAAUGUUUAAUCUAAGCAUGCAUUAAAUAAAGCGUGAACGAAUAAACUGCUCAAUAAUUCUCAUCAAAAAAAAUAUCGCUUAUUUGUAUCCUUUCUCUAAGCCAUCCAGUUAUAUUACACCACCAAAGCAUCAGUCUAAGUAAAGUAUGCAUUGCAUAUAUUCUUAAUCUAAGGCUAGUUGAACACGGGGCAAGUCGCUUUCGGAUCCUUCAGACAAAGUUAUGAACCAAUUAACGGGCGCUUUUAGAAUUUCUUCGAGUUUUAAACAAUCGAGCCGCGCAGUUUAAAUACCGAUUAAAUGAACACAUUUAAAGUAAAAAUCAUUACCCGACUAGAUGAACUAUGUUGUCUGGGGAAAAACGUAAACAAAAUCUCCAAGAGUGGCUUUCAAUAAAACGUCCUGCUCACUCCAUGAGUUGGCUCCUGUUUUGUUUUAAUAGGUUUUCCAAAUUGGCGAUUCCAUACAUUAAGUUUAUUUUUAAACAAUGAGCUUACAUUUGUUUCGAACAUGUUAAUGGGCGUAUUCUAGUAUGCAAAACCCGAAAUAUUGUACACACACGUUACAAUUGCAUAUAAUGUUAUUAUCCCGUGUGUUCUUCUCGAGUGAAGAAUUUACUUGACGGGAAUGGGUUUUAAAAUGCGAUAUGAGGUAGUUUAAAAAAUGGACGUGAAAUUUUGAAACGUGUUCUCAAUCUCAAAGACUGACAAGUCGGUCAAUUAGCAUUACAACGGAGAGGGAUCCCAAAGGAAAUAUUUAUAAACUAAGAACAAUGUGAUGAUGAGUGAGUUAAAAAUAAUCACAACUUUCAGUUUCGACAUCUAUUCUUAACCCGUCUAAAAUUACAGAAUCUUACGUGUAGAAGGUAAUACAAACGCGCAUGUUCUUCUUAAACUGGAAUUGUUUUAAUUAUUUCACGUUUCUUUCUACAUAUUAAGUUUUUGCAGUGGUACAUGCGUUAUUUGAAAGUUUCGGAGAAUGGGUAACGGGGGAAACGGGGGCAGUGCAAACGGCCCCAAUGGGCGGGGCGGUGGGGGUGGUGCCGGAGGUGGAUUAAUUUUUGGCGGAAAAGGAGGUCAGGGGGGUAACGGGCGAGAAGAAGAUGUAAACGGGAAUGGGAACAUCGACCUUAACAUUGGCAAUGGACAGGUGGAACCUUAUACCGGAAGAAAUGAAGAAGAACCCGUACGACGAAACCCCGUGGGAGAAAAUAUCCCAAUACAGGAAGAAGGCAACCGAUCUCAAAACUUCGGGCGUUAAGAAAGUUAAUCCAAGAGGAGUAUGAACAUCGUGCGAUUGAAAGUGAUGUUGACUAUAUUACUGUGGUAGAAUAGUUUAGUAUGCAUCUUUUCUUGUACGGACACUGGCAUUUGAGACAUUCACAUUUAUUUUGACAAUCUAUUUUGAACAUUGCAUACACUUGAUCAUUAUCGUGUACCACUUAGUGAAUGUAUUUCUGUGUUCCAAUCUUUUGUCCUGAAUGGAUUACAUUUACUAUUAUAAAUUUACUAUUGUUUCCAUCUCUUUGUGUUUCUUUCACUUAUACAUUGAUUAUUUGCGAUGAUUCUGUUACUUCACUUGGAAAAUAACACUCGACCAUGAAUAUUGUUAAUUAACAUACAGUUUGUGUCCAUACAUUUUUAAUAGGCAUAUAUCAGAGAAAGUGAUUGGAUUGUUAUAGUAUAUCUUGAUAGAUAUCUUGUGCCACUCAAUAUUUAAUAUUUUCUUACUAGUAUCUUGUAAUUGUAUGUGUUUAUUCUUUAUAAGUGUACCUGUGUGAAUUUCUGUGUAUCAUUUCUCUAGAAUCAUAACCUAUUACUCUUUAUAUUAAAGGAGCCUUUUUACGUUUUGGUAAAUUGACAAAAUUGAAAAAAAAAUGUUUUAGGUUCGCAAAUUUUCUUUGUAGUUAUGAUAUUUGUGAGGAAACAGUAAUACUGAAUAUUUAACAUGUUCUUAUAUAUCCAUUAUAUGCAUCUUUUGACGAUUUAAAAACCUGAAAAAUAUAAACGUCAAUACAUGUCAAAUUCUGUGAAAAGGUCCCAUUAAUUGCUGAUCGCGUAUUUUUCUCAAUAGUGUUGACGAUGCCAUGCUUUUUGCGUUACUAUUCAUUAAAUCGCGUGUACAUAAUCUUAUUUAUAGGCACAUUUAUUUCUAAAUAUCGCAAUUUGUUCACAUAUAUGUUUUAUGGAACUUGUACACUGGUGUGCAUGCUUCAAUAUGAUCUAGCUUAAUGCGCUACUACAUCCCGUAUGGUUCUAAUAUAUAUAAUUACAGUUGUAUUAGGAAAAUGUGAUAUUCAAUUAAGUAAAAGUAAAAUGACAUUUAAAAAAAAAAGAAUGAAAUACUCGGAAACAAAUGGGGCUAGAAGAUAUCAAGUUUACUUACAUGUGGACGAAAAUGUCUUUAAUCGUAUUUAGUAAUACUUUAACGAAAUUAGAAUUGUUCCGUUCUACUUGCGAGGAUGAUGUAUUGUUGUAUUCGUGUUGCAAAGCUGUAACACAGUUUGUACUGUCUACUUAGUUUCACAAAGACAAUGACAUGUCGCAGAAUAAAAAUGCUCUAGUUGGGAUAAAGAUAAGUUUUCUGUAGUUCCCUUAUUGUUGUAAACUGUUUAAAUAUAGCCAUAUGCUAAUUGCUGGUUGUGUAUUAUUUCUCCGUGGAAUUGUUAACUUGCCAUACAUUUAUAAAACGAUUGCUUAUAUUUGAGACAGAUGCGUAGUUGGUGUAUUGUUGUAAAGCACAAAAUCAAAUUUUACUAUCGACUUUAAAUAACCAUAUGCAUAAUGCUUGUGUUCUACCUUUUAUAGUGCUUUUGUUUUGCGUUAUGCUGUUUGGCAUUUAGUAAAUUGUUAUAACCAAG